ensembl:lncRNA
CAAGCUCCAGUUCUCAAAAAGUCCCGGGAACCAAUUUUCUGUAUGUGUUUUAUUGCCUUAUUCAAGUGAUUUAACAUUUUUAGUUUUUCACUAACCACGCAUAACAUUUUUUUUCUCAAAAACACAAUCAUGUACAUACAUGCUGCUCACAUAUUAUUAUAGCCUAGUUUGUGCUGAUUACAGUGAGAUUAAACUUUAGCCAUUUAGAUAUUUAUAAGAAACUGAAAAAGGCACAAAUGUCAGGGCAUGACAAAACUUCUUCAGGCCCCAAAAAUACCCUUAGACUCCAGAGGGUUAAGUUAUUUAUAUUGUUUUAUGGGUUAUUAAGUUAAUGUAUUGGAUAGCUUUUCCAACCUACUGCUCAAUUUUUAUACUUUUGACAGGGAGACAACUCAGAAGUAGUCAAUUCAGGAAGACAGCUCCUAAAUUUGUUCACAAAUGCAAUACCUUCCCCUGGUCCUGUUGGACCCAGUGCCCAACAUCAAACUUGCCCAGAGACUCCAAGGUGUUGUCUAGUUUCCCAACAAAUAACACACACACAGAGAUUAACAUGUAUAAAAUAAUGUGAUGCAUCUUCUGAACACGGCAUGUCAUUCUAGCAGACAGGAAAGGAGUCAGGAAAGAGGGAGAGAUGGCCGACCCAGUGUCCACACAGAAAUGACAAGGUCUUUUCCUGCCCUUUUUGGAGCCAGUGGAAAGCGCUGGCGUGUUCAAGGGCCUUCCAACCACUUCACACCAGUCAAAGAGAUAGAAGUUACAUUUUAUCUCUUACCCAAGAUUGUUGAGCACACUCCCAAAGGCAGUGAAGAAGUUUUCCAUCUGCAAGCUGGUUUGGGACGCAGGUCCACGCUGAUACCAGGGAACUACACCCAUGAUGAGGUAUGUUCAACUCUCAAAGAUCUUUGUCCAAAACUUGAAAGUGUGUCUGGGGGCUGGCUGAUUUACAAAGGAGCAGGUACCUAGAACUUACCCAUGGAAAAUCUAAUCUUGGUAUAAAAUCAUUUGAAUCAAUAUCUUGAGUGAUGAGCUUUCUGUAGAUAUAUUUAUCAUGUAUGUGAGACGCCACAAUUUUAAGUUAAUUCAUAAUCAAGAAAAAUUUCAAGUGAUCAAGAGGGCGCCUCCCUGUCCUGCAUGCGCAUUAAUAAUUUUCGCACAAACACUUGAAUAUGAAUAAUAAUUCACAUUUUGCAUAUGCAUUACAACGUAAAUUAUUUUUUACAUGCAAUUAUCCAAAAUAAAACCAAACAAGAUUUGUAAUGAAGAUAAAACAAAUAAGAAUAAAUGCUGCGCGUGCACUCAGCAUGACUCGCGCCGCGCAAAUCUUGCACGCAGACAAAUUUACACACCUGCAUUUAAAUGCGGCUGCAAUUUUAUUUUUUUACUUAAAUUAUAUGAAAGCAAGUAAAGAAGGCUCCCUUUAAAAUUACUGAAGUUGUCAAUUAAUGAAGCUCUUAUUUACAUUGUGUGUAUUUUGUUGAUUAUAAUGAGAGAACUUGAGUUUAAACAUGAGAACGUUUUAUUAAUCCGUCCAUUCUUUAGACUUUCAAUGAUUUAGCUAAAUUGUGCAGGUUUAAUUUAUUCGUUUCUUGUUUUAAUUAGGCCUAAAUAAUGGGAACGAAAUUAUACAGUGCCUCACGUUUUACUAAAAUAAAGAAAAUAAUUUAUAAAACACGCAACAAUUUCUUAAUCAGUCUACAGACAAAUAUAUUUUCCCAAGAAGUUGUCUGUCAAAAUAAAGGACAGGUAACGAAUAACAAAAAUGCAUGUUGUUUUAUUAAAGGAAUUUUAAAAUAUAAAUUAAAAUAUAGGCCUAAUAUAUGAGAAUAUUGACAUUUUGCAAAUAAAUCCAUGUAGCCAAGCUCACUAAAAUAGGCUACCACUUUUAAUGCUACGAUGCAAAGUAAACCACAAUUUAUUUUGAAUAAUAUAACACAUAAUUCAUAUUAUAUAAAUAAUACUGCACACCUAUUAAAUGUGUUAAAUCUAAAAUAUGGUGUAAUACUGUGUAGCUUAGAGAAAAUAUAAGCACAGGCACAGGCUUGACAUUUAUCCUGCUUGAAUUCGUUCUAAGAAAUGCACAUAACUUCAUAAGUACCAAACUUUCAUCUGUGAAUAUUAAAUAUUUUAACUAUAGUGUUUUUUUUUUUCAUUUUCCCUGACUGCAGCCGUCAAAUGUAACACAUCAGCGAGGCAAAUCUGUCGUCUAUUUGCGAAAAUGUGCUUUGAUGCGCUUGUUUGAAAACUUG